AAUCUGCGAUAAGCGUCGGUAAGGUGAUAUGAACCGUUAUAACCGGCGAUUUCCGAAUGGGGAAACCCAGUGUGUUUCGACACACUAUCAUUAACUGAAUCCAUAGGUUAAUGAGGCGAACCGGGGGAACUGAAACAUCUAAGUACCCCGAGGAAAAGAAAUCAACCGAGAUUCCCCCAGUAGCGGCGAGCGAACGGGGAGCAGCCCAGAGCCUGAAUCAGUAUGUGUGUUAGUGGAAGCGUCUGGAAAGGCGCGCGAUACAGGGUGACAGCCCCGUACACAAAAAUGCACAUGCUGUGAGCUCGAUGAGUAGGGCGGGACACGUGGUAUCCUGUCUGAAUAUGGGGGGACCAUCCUCCAAGGCUAAAUACUCCUGACUGACCGAUAGUGAACCAGUACCGUGAGGGAAAGGCGAAAAGAACCCCGGCGAGGGGAGUGAAAAAGAACCUGAAACCGUGUACGUACAAGCAGUGGGAGCACGCUUAGGCGUGUGACUGCGUACCUUUUGUAUAAUGGGUCAGCGACUUAUAUUCUGUAGCAAGGUUAACCGAAUAGGGGAGCCGAAGGGAAACCGAGUCUUAACUGGGCGUUAAGUUGCAGGGUAUAGACCCGAAACCCGGUGAUCUAGCCAUGGGCAGGUUGAAGGUUGGGUAACACUAACUGGAGGACCGAACCGACUAAUGUUGAAAAAUUAGCGGAUGACUUGUGGCUGGGGGUGAAAGGCCAAUCAAACCGGGAGAUAGCUGGUUCUCCCCGAAAGCUAUUUAGGUAGCGCCUCGUGAAUUCAUCUCCGGGGGUAGAGCACUGUUUCGGCAAGGGGGUCAUCCCGACUUACCAACCCGAUGCAAACUGCGAAUACCGGAGAAUGUUAUCACGGGAGACACACGGCGGGUGCUAACGUCCGUCGUGAAGAGGGAAACAACCCAGACCGCCAGCUAAGGUCCCAAAGUCAUGGUUAAGUGGGAAACGAUGUGGGAAGGCCCAGACAGCCAGGAUGUUGGCUUAGAAGCAGCCAUCAUUUAAAGAAAGCGUAAUAGCUCACUGGUCGAGUCGGCCUGCGCGGAAGAUGUAACGGGGCUAAACCAUGCACCGAAGCUGCGGCAGCGACGCUGAUGCGUUGUUGGGUAGGGGAGCGUUCUGUAAGCCUGCGAAGGUGUGCUGUGAGGCAUGCUGGAGGUAUCAGAAGUGCGAAUGCUGACAUAAGUAACGAUAAAGCGGGUGAAAAGCCCGCUCGCCGGAAGACCAAGGGUUCCUGUCCAACGUUAAUCGGGGCAGGGUGAGUCGACCCCUAAGGCGAGGCCGAAAGGCGUAGUCGAUGGGAAACAGGUUAAUAUUCCUGUACUUGGUGUUACUGCGAAGGGGGGACGGAGAAGGCUAUGUUGGCCGGGCGACGGUUGUCCCGGUUUAAGCGUGUAGGCUGGU
rnacentral:rRNA from 1 species